ACUACCUACGGGGCGCAGCAGUCGGGAAUAUUGCGCAAUGGAGGAAACUCUGACGCAGUGACGCUGCGUAUAGGAAGAAGGUUUUCGGAUUGUAAACUAUUGUCGUUAGGGAAGAUACAAGACAGUACCUAAGGAGGAAGCCCCGGCUAACUAUGUGCCAGCAGCCGCGGUAAUACGGAGGAUGCGAGCGUUAUCCGGAUUUAUUGGGUUUAAAGGGUGCGUAGGCGGUUUUUUAAGUUAGUGGUUAAACGUCGGGGCUUCACCUUGAUUUGCCAUUAAUACUGUAAGACUUGAUUUCAGACGAG
rnacentral:rRNA from 1 species